rnacentral:pre_miRNA from 13 species
CGAGGUUCGGUCACCACGGUGCCCGACUUUUCAAUAUUUUGAAACCAGUUAUUCUGAGAAUGGUUACAAAGUAUUUGAAAAGCCGUGCACUGUAAGAAUCUCUCUU